rnacentral:tRNA from 1 species
GGAGUGAUACCCAAGAGGCCGAAGGGGCUCCCCUGCUAAGGGAGUAGGCGUCUAAACAGCGCGCGAGGGUUCAAAUCCCUCUCACUCCGCCA